UUUCAUUGCUUGUUUAUCUGACGAUACAAAUUCGGAGUCUGAACUCCGGCGAGCCCGCGUCAGAAUCGAUCUUCCAACGGCUGUUUCCAACGUCUCGCCGAAGCAACGUCGAGUUGUCAAGGGUGGGAGUUCCUGGAGCAGGAGUACUCGGUAAUGAUCCUUCCGCAGGUUCACUGUGACCGUUAGCAGAGUCGGAGCGGAAUUAGAAGCAACAUACCCUACGGAAA
rnacentral:misc_RNA from 1 species